rnacentral:rRNA from 1 species
AUACGGAGGGUACGAACGUUAAUCGGAAUUACAGGGCGUAAAGCGCGCGUAGGUGGUUUUUUAAGUGGGAUGUGAAAGCCCUGGGCUUAACCUGGGAACUGCAUUCCAAACUGAAGAGCUAGAGUACGGUAGAGGGAGGUAGAAUUCAGAGUGUAGCGGUGAAAUGCGUAGAUAUUCUGAGGAAUACCGGUGGCGAAGGCGGCCUCCUGGAUUGAUACUGACACUGAGGUGCGAAAGCGUGGGGAGCAAACAGGAUUAGAUACCCCGGUAGUCC